GGUUCUAAUCCUUCUCCAAAAAAAAAAAAAAAUCUGUAUCGAACAGUGGGCACUAUGGUUUUAAUAUGUCUAGAAUCCUUAUUAAUAUCCCCUUACCUCUGCAGUGUAGUAUUUUUCCUUUUUAUAUCAAACUGAAUAAAAAAAACUGGCCAUACACAGUAAGAUUUAUCUUGUUUAGCCCCAUGGACUGAAAGAGAGAAAUGUCUAUGCAUCCAUGCUAAACAAUGUAGAUGGGGGAAUCUGCACUGCUUUGUAUUGUAUUCUGACAGUUGUCACCCACGGCUAUCAGAAAACCAUCCAUUCGCUGCAUCUGGUAUUCACUGG